rnacentral:rRNA from 14 species
UUGGGCGUAAAGAGCUUGUAGGCGGUUUGUCGCGUCUGCCGUGAAAAUCCGGGGCUCAACUCCGGACUUGCGGUGGGUACGGGCAGACUAGAGUGUGGUAGGGGAGACUGGAAUUCCUGGUGUAGCGGUGAAAUGCGCAGAUAUCAGGAGGAACACCGAUGGCGAAGGCAGGUCUCUGGGCUGUAACUGACGCUGAGGAGCGAAAGCAUGGGGAGCGAACAGGAUUAGAUACCCUGGUAGUCCAUGCCGUAAACGUUGGGCACUAGGUGU